rnacentral:rRNA from 1 species
GCUCAGUCUAACGAGACCGUACCGCAAACCGACACAGGUGGGCGAGAUGAGUAUUCUAAGGCGCUUGAGAGAACUCGGGAGAAGGAACUCGGCAAAUUUGUACCGUAACUUCGGGAUAAAGUACGCCCCGGUAGCUUGUUAAAGGGCGAAAGGGCUGCAAUAAAAAGGUGGCUGCGACUGUUUAAUAAAAACACAGCACUAUGCAAACACGAAAGUGGACGUAUAUGGUGUGACUCCUGCCCGGUGCUGGAAGAUUAAAUGAUGGGGUGCAAGCUCUUGAUUGAAGUCCCAGUAAACGGCGGCCGUAACAAUAACGGUCCUAAGGUAGCGAAAUUCCUUGUCGGGUAAGUUCCGACCUGCACGAAUGGAGUAACGAUGGCCACACUGUCUCCUCCCGAGACUCAGCGAAGUUGAAAUGUUUGUGAUGAUGCAAUCUACCCGCGGCUAGACGGAAAGACCCCAUGAACCUUUACUGUAGCUUUGCAUUGAAUUUUGAACCAAUCUGUGUAGGAUAGGUGGGAGGCUUUGAAGCGUGAACGCUAGUUUGCGUGGAGCCAACCUUGAAAUACCACCCUGGUUUGUUUGAGAUUCUAACCUUGGACCGUUAUCCGGUUCGGGAACAGUGCAUGGUAGGCAGUUUGACUGGGGCGGUCUCCUCCUAAAGUGUAACGGAGGAGUUCGAAGGUACGCUAGGUACGGUCGGACAUCGUGCUAAUAGUGCAAUGGCAUAAGCGUGCUUAACUGCGAGACUGACAAGUCGAGCAGGUACGAAAGUAGGACAUAGUGAUCCGGUGGUUCUGUAUGGAAGGGCCAUCGCUCAACGGAUAAAAGGUACUCUGGGGAUAACAGGCUGAUUCCUCCCAAGAGUUCAUAUCGACGGGGGAGUUUGGCACCUCGAUGUCGGCUCAUCACAUCCUGGGGCUGUAGCCGGUCCCAAGGGUAUGGCUGUUCGCCAUUUAAAGUGGUACGUGAGCUGGGUUUAAAACGUCGUGAGACAGUUUGGUCCCUAUCUGCCGUGGGCGUUGGAAAUUUGAAGGGGGCUGCUCCUAGUACGAGAGGACCGGAGUGGACGAACCUCUGGUGUACCGGUUGUCAUGCCAAUGGCAUUGCCGGGUAGCUAAGUUCGGAAGAGAUAACCGCUGAAAGCAUCUAAGCGGGAAACUUGCCUUGAGAUGAGAUUUCCCCGGGAGUUUAACUCCCCUAAAGGGUCGUUCGAGACCAGGACGUUGAUAGGUCAGGUGUGGAAGC